AUGGGGGGGUGCCUUAUACUGCAAGUCGAGCGCGGGAAGCAGACUGAAGUCUUCGGACGGACGUCUGUGGAACGAGCGGCGGAUGGGUGAGUAACACGUGGGUAACCUGCCUGUAAGCUUGGGAUAACUCCGGGAAACCGGUGCUAAUACCGAAUGAUCCUGACGUUCGCAUGAACGUUAGGUAAAAGGCGGCUUUUGCUGUCACUUACAGAUGGACCCGCGGCGCAUUAGCUAGUUGGUGGGGUAAUGGCUCACCAAAGCGACGAUGCGUAGCCGACCUGAGAGGGUGAUCGGCCACACUGGGACUGAGACACGGCCCAGACUCCUACGGGAGGCAGCAGUAGGGAAUCUUCCGCAAUGGACGAAAGUCUGACGGAGCGACGCCGCGUGAGUGAUGAAGGUCUUCGGAUCGUAAAACUCUGUUGUUAGGGAAGAAUAAGUAUCGACCGAAUAAGUCGGUACCUUGACGGUACCUAACCAGAAAGCCCCGGCUAACUACGUGCCAGCAGCCGCGGUAAUACGUAGGGGGCAAGCGUUGUCCGGAAUUAUUGGGCGUAAAGGGCGCGCAGGCGGUCUUUUAAGUCUGAUGUGAAAUCUCGUAGCUUAACUACGAGCGGUCAUUGGAAACUGGAAGACUUGAGGACAGAAGAGGAGAGUGGAAUUCCACGUGUAGCGGUGAAAUGCGUAGAGAUGUGGAGGAACACCAGUGGCGAAGGCGACUCUCUGGUCUGUAACUGACGCUGAGGCGCGAAAGCGUGGGGAGCGAACAGGAUUAGAUACCCUGGUAGUCCACGCCGUAAACGAUGAGUGCUAGGGUGUUUAGGGGGGGUUUCCCGCCCCCAUU
rnacentral:rRNA from 1 species